GUUCCUUGGAAAAGGACAGCUGAGAGGGUGACACUCCCGUCCGCCUGGUAGAGUGAGUCUUUGUCAACGAGUCGAGUUGUUUGGGAUUGCAGCUCUAAUUUGGUGGUAAAUUCCAUCUAAAGCUAAAUAUUGGUGGGAGACCGAUAGCGUACAAGUACCGUGAGGGAAAGAUGCAAAGAACUUUGAAAAGAGAGUUAAAGAGUACCUGAAAUUGCUGAAACGGAAGCGAAGGAAACCAGUGUUUGUUGGUUCAUAUUUCCCUUGUCACUUGUGAUGUGGGCGCUGUGAGCUUGCGUGGGUUUGCUUUGGUUGAUUCCUUUGGAAUAGCGCAGUCAGAGUUGAUGUCU
rnacentral:rRNA from 1 species